UGGGGAAUCUUGCGCAAUGGACGAAAGUCUGACGCAGCCACGCCGCGUGAGUGAAGAAGGCCUUCGGGUUGUAAAGCUCUGUCGGAGGGGACGAAAAUGCUUUGAGUGAAUAGCUCAGAGUACUGACGGUACCCUUAAAGGAAGCACCGGCUAACUUCGUGCCAGCAGCCGCGGUAAUACGAGGGGUGCAAGCGUUGCUCGGAAUUAUUGGGCGUAAAGGGUAGGUAGGUGGUCUCAUUUGUCAGGGGUGAAGGCCUUGGGCUUAACCCAAGAAGUGCCCCUGAAACGGUGAGACUAGAGUUCUGGAGAGGGUCGUGGAAUUCCCGGUGUAGCGGUGAAAUGCGUAGAGAUCGGGAGGAACACCAGAGGCGAAGGCGGCGACCUGGACAGAUACUGACACUCAACUACGAAAGCGUGGGGAGCAAACAG
rnacentral:rRNA from 1 species